rnacentral:rRNA from 1 species
AACGUAGGUGGCGAGCGUUAUCCGGAAUUACUGGGCGUAAAGCGUGUGCAGGCGGUCUAGCAAGUGGUGUAUGAAAGCUCCCGGCUCAACCGGGAAGGGUUAUGCCAGACUGCUAGUCUUGAGUGCGAGAGAGGAGCGUGGAAUUCCGGGUGUAGUGGUGAAAUGCGUAGAGAUCCGGAGGAACCCCAGAGGCGAAGGCGGCGCUCUGGCGCGCAACUGACGCUCAGACACGACAGCAUGGGGAGCGAACGGG